rnacentral:rRNA from 1 species
CCUACGGGGGGCAGCAGUAGGGAAUCUUCCACAAUGGACGAAAGUCUGAUGGAGCAACGCCGCGUGAGUGAAGAAGGGUUUCGGCUCGUAAAGCUCUGUUGGUAGUGAAGAAAGAUAGAGGUAGUAAAUGGCCUUUAAUUGACGGUAAUUACUUAGAAAGUCACGGCUAAAUACGUGGCAGCAGCCGCGGUAAUAAGUAGGGGGCGAGAGGUGUCCGGAUUUAUUGGGCGUAAAGCGAGGGGAGGAGG